rnacentral:rRNA from 1 species
ACUCCUACGGGAGGCAGCAGUGGGGAAUAUUGGACAAUGGGCGCAAGCCUGAUCCAGCCAUGCCGCGUGUGUGAAGAAGGCCUUUUGGUUGUAAAGCACUUUAAGCGAGGAGGAGGCUCCUUUGAGUUUAAAUACCCUAAAAGUGUAGGUGGGACGUUACUCGCAGAAAUAAGCACCGGCUAACUCUGUGCCAGCAGCCGCGGUAAUACAGAGGGUGCGAGCGUUAAUCGGAUUUACUGGGCGUAAAGCGUGCGUAGGCGGCUUUUUAAGUCGGAUGUGAAAUCCCUGAGCUUAACUUAGGAAUUGCAUUCGAUACUGGAAAGCAUAGAGUAUGGGAGAGGAUGGUAGAAUUCCAGGUGUAGCGGUGAAAUGCGUAGAGAUCUGGAGGAAUACCGAUGGCGAAGGCAGCCAUCUGGCCGUCAAUACGUGACGCUGAGGUACGAAAGCAUGGGGAGCAAAA